AUAGCUUAUGUUUUCAGGUUUAAUUUCUACCAGUCUUGAAAUGCCUCAUAUUCUAGAGACCCUCCACGGUCAGCAAUAAAUUGGUACACGAAAGACAGACUAAUUCUGUAUCAAUCAGUAAUUACAUAAAUACGAGCUCUAUGUUUGUAUUUAAUAUAAUGGUUAUGUAAAGAUGUACAGACCUGCCUUAGGGAUGAGAAGGAUGAGGAGUGAGGCUAUGAAACAAAUAGGGUAGUCUGAGGUAUUUCUCCUUGACAUGAGUUAGCAAUGAGCCAUUUUGGGUAGAAAAGAAAGUAAAGAAUAAGGUAGAAAAAUAAGCUGUACACUUACCACAUUUUUUUUUUUUGGUGCUUUACACAAAUUCUCUAAUCUGUAAGCCCACUUCCUUGAGAUAGUCUUCUUGAUU